CCCUUACUCACUCUAUAUAUCUCACUGUCUCUCUAUCCUCAAGUCUCUCUUUUUCUCUUCUUCUAUUUUACUCUGUUGCUCCAUUCUCUUUUCUCUCUCUUUUUCUGUCUGUUUCAAUCUCUCACUCAGUGCUGCAUCUCUCUCUCUCUCUCUCUCUCUCUCUCUCUCUCUCUCUCUCUCUAUUCCUCCUCUCUUAUAUGUCUUGCUCUGUUUCUCAUCCUCUCUCUCUAUUCCUCCCUCUGUUUGUCUCUUUCCUCCACUCACUCUUUGUAUCUCACUGUCUCUUUAUCCUUAAAUCUCCGUCUUUCUCUCCCUCUAUUUUACUCCAUAGCUCUUUAUCUCUUUUCUCUCUCUUUUUCUGUCUGUUUCAAUCUCUCACUAUCUCUCUAUAUCUCACUGUCUCUCUAUUCCUCAAUCCCCCUCUUUUUCUCCCUCUAUUUUACUCCAUGAUUCUUUUUCUCUCUCUUUUUCUGACUGUUUCAAUCUCUCACUCAGUGCUGCAUCCCUCUCUCCUCUCUUGUGCUCUGUCUCUCUGUCUUUGCCCUCCCUCUCUUAUAUGUCUUGCUCUGUUUCUCAUUCUCUCUCUCUCUCUCUCUAUCCCUUUCUUUGUUUGUCUCUUGCCCUUACUCACUCUAUAUACCUCAAAUCUCUCUUUUUCUCUCCCUCUAUUUUACUCUGUUGCUUCUAUUCUUUUUUCUCUCUCUUUUUCUGUUUGUUUCCAUCUAUCACUCAAUGCUGCAGUUCUCUCUCUCUCUCUCUCUCUCCGUCAUUGUUGUUCUCUCUUAAUGAGACUCCAUUGUGCCGCAGACUCCGCCACGCUGCCGGCCGUUUAUUUAUCUCCCAAAUUAUUUAUGCAUGGAUUUAUUUGCUCAUUAAUUUGGAUUCACGGGGAAAUUAAACACAUGAGAGCUUUCGGGCGCGGCAUUGUUCAGCGGCUGCAUUAUCUCCCUCACUGUUACCCGGGCAGAGAGCUGGGGAAGAGUCAGGAACACUCAACAUGAUAAGGCUUAG
rnacentral:lncRNA from 1 species